rnacentral:rRNA from 1 species
UAAUGUCUGGGAAACUGCCUGAUGGAAGGGGGAUAACUACUGGAAACGGUAGCUAAUACCGCAUAACGUCGCAAGACCAAAGAGGGGGACCUUCGGGCCUCUUGCCAUCGGAUGUGCCCAGAUGGGAUUAGCUAGUAGGUGGGGUAAUGGCUCACCUAGGCGACGAUCCCUAGCUGGUCUGAGAGGAUGACCAGCCACACUGGAACUGAGACACGGUCCAGACUCCUACGGGAGGCAGCANUGGGGAAUAUUGCACAAUGGGCGCAAGCCUGAUGCAGCCAUGCCGCGUGUGUGAAGAA